GAUGAAGAACGCAGCGAAAUGCGAUAAGUAGUGUGAAUUGCAGAAUUCAGUGAAUCAUCGAAUCUUUGAACGCACAUUGCGCCCCUUGGUAUUCCAUGGGGCAUGCCUGUUCGAGCGUCAUUUGUACCUUCAAGCUUUGCUUGGUGUUGGGUGUUUGUCCAUUCUCUUGCAGAGGGACUCGCCUUAAAGUAAUUGGCAGCCAGUGUUUUGGUUUUGAAGCGCAGCACAAGUCGCGAUUCAAAGCUAUACGCCCGCUUCCACAAGCCUUCUUCACUUUUGACCUCGGAUCAGGUAGGGAUACCCGCUGAACUUAAGCAUAUCAAUAAGCGGAGGA
rnacentral:misc_RNA from 1 species